UACGGAGGGUGCAAGCGUUGUCCGGAUUUAUUGGGUUUAAAGGGCGCGUAGGCGGCGACCCAAGUCAGAUGUGAAAGUCCUGGGCUUAACCUGGGGACUGCAUUUGAUACUGGGUUGCUUGAAUUCGGGAGAGGAUAGCGGAAUUCCCAGUGUAGAGGUGAAAUUCGUAGAUAUUGGGAAGAACACCGGUGGCGAAGGCGGCUAUCUGGACCGACAUUGACGCUGAGGCGCGAAAGCGUGGGGAGCAAACAGG
rnacentral:rRNA from 1 species